GCCGAAGUGGCGAAAUAGGUAGACGCAAUUGACUCAAAAUCAAUCACCUUAAUGGCGUGCCGGUUCGAGUCCGGCCUUCGGCA
rnacentral:tRNA from 5 species